UGCCCAUCUUCCUCUACUUUAUAUGUGGGACGCCUGCCACAGUAUGGCUUGCCAAGCGGUGUGUAGAUCCAAGGCCGGGAUCUGGGCCGGGGAACCCGGACUGCUGAAGUGGAAUGUGGGAACUUAACCACAGUGCCACCUGGCUGGCCCCUCAAGGGAACUUUUAAUAGAGCACCCACAAGCCUUGCUGCUGGAAGUGUGGUCUGAGGAUGGGAACAUCAGUCAUACCCAAGAACUGGCUGGAAGUGCAGACUUUCAGACCCAACCCCAGGUCUUCUACAUCCUACCAAAGUCCAGAGUGAUUUCUGUGCACAUUGACACUGGAGAAGCAAUGCCCACAUUUACGGAGUGAAGCCUGGAACUUCAUCAAGCUUACAGACCAAGCUGUAUGAAUGCAUUACUUUUUCUUUUUGUAUGCCAGCAUACUGAUACCUAUUGGUGUGACAGAAUUCCAUCUGAGGCUUAUUGUCACUGUAAUUAACACCUGGUUGUGAGGAGGUGAGUGGAGAUAACUGCAGACCUGGCCAAAGUUAAUUUUUGAAGCCCACCGUUAUCUACCGUAAAUAACCUUAUCAUCGUGAACUAUCAAAUUGCCCGGGUCAGUUUGCAGCUCUCUCUUUCUCUGGUCUGUCUCAGUUUGUGAUCUUACAUUCCAUGUGUGAUUAUUUAGUUAAUGUGUGCCUCCCUUAUUAUACUGUGGGCUCCAAAGGGCAGAGACAGGUUUUGUUUUUUCACUUUUACCUCUCUAGUCAAGUGUCUAGCACUGGUACUAGCGGACACAAUAAAUAUUUGUUGAAUGAAUAUUGUUGAAGGAAGGGAAUGUUUAUAAUUUUCUGAGCAGGCAAGGGAAAAUGCAUUUAAGCUUUUAUGGGCUUUAGAGCUUCAAACUGACUCUUGGGUGCUGAAUAAAUAACUUCCAUUGGGAUUUGCCCCUCAAAAUCCAAACAAACAUUUCCCAAACUCCUAUCUCGUGUCCCUCUAGUGCACUACAGUGAAGCUCAGAGGUGGAGAACUGGUUAUAAAAGCAUUUUCCUUUUCUUUUUUUUAUUUUUUCUCUGUUCUUUUUGCUUAUCUUUAUCUGGUUGAAGCUUGCUAAUCAGGUAUGUACAAGUUUAAUAAUCGUGGAAUGCAUAACCACAAUGUUAAAAGGAACACUGGCAAAUUAUUUCAUGACUUCAGUCCAUUGUUCUGGGCUCAGAGUGGCAGACAGCCAUUUUACCAGAGGGAGAAAAACUAGCCAGUGGUGACAUACAUAUGCCUUCUCCCAACUCCAGUCUUGUGAAACAGAAAAUCUUAUCAGAAAUAUGUAAUCAAUUUAAGCUUAUUUUAUGCAAAUUAUACCCUAUUAAGGAAGCCUGUGAACAAAAUCUCCAAAAACAAGAUUCUGCAGACUUUUUUGGCACUGCUGUGAUAGACAGUACUAAAUGCGAGCAGACUUGCAUGUUUAAAAUAUCGAAUGAUGGGGGAAAAUAUAAAAUUAAUUAUCUCAGUGAGAAAAAAACUGUCAGACAGAUAAUUUAUUAAAAACUAUUUUGGAAAAUUGUUACAUAAAACAUUUCUAAAUAAGAGCAAUUGAUCUAUCUAAUAAUAGGGAUUAGAACUGUAUCAAAAUGGUGACGAAUUAAGAUUUAUGUUGAGCUCCAAUUCGAACAAUAGAUGAAAUAGAUUGUACCUAUAAUACACAAUUGAUUGCUCGUGGCAAUCUCAGGCCAUCACACACACAUAUAUGUAUCUCACACACACCCAUAAUAUAUAUGUAUAUAUAUUAUAUAUACGCAUAUAUAUCCCAUUGGUUCUGUUUCUCUACAUAUGGUCUACUCCAAGAAAGAUCUUACCUAGCGCUACCUUCAUCAUUUUUAGGACUGAAGAUUCCUUCCUGUAUUCAAAACCACGUGCAUAAGGAAAGAAAUAUGCAGGAAAGAAAUCCGUACACUGUAGUAAUACGUGGAUGAAGUGAUUGAAAUGGUUAAAAACCGUCAAACUGUCUGCAGACCAUGUGAUGGACUGCUGGAGCCACGGAGACCAACAAACCACACUCGGAGAUAUAUUUGUUCUGCCCAAUGCUGCUUCUGUGCGACUCCCCAGGCGAAGCCACUGUGGAACUUUUAGCCUCUGAGUUAUACCAUAUGAGAAGAUAAAGCUGGAGAGAGAUUGGCUGUCAAUCUGACGGAUGCUAGGAGCCGUGAUGAUGGUCACCCACAUUAAAACUGCGAGUUAGAUACUUGUCACAACAUGGAUGGAUCUGGAAGACAUUAUGACAAGUGAAAUAAGUCAGUCACAGGAGGACAAAGACUGCAUGAUUCUUCUUAUAGUCGAAGGUACAGAAGUAGACAAUGGAAUGGUAGUUACCAGGGGUUAGAGGGAGGUGGAUAUCAGAAGUUGUUCAAUGAGUAGAAAAUCACAGUUCUACCAGAGGAUUAAGUUCCAGAGAUCUGCCGUACAAUAUAAUGCCUACAGUUAACAAUAAGGUGUUAUGUACUUAAAAAUUUGUUAAAAGAGUAGAUCUCAGGUUAAGUAUUCUUUCCACA